GAGAUUUCGCCCUUUUAGCGUCAGGUAACAAUGUUGGGGAAGAUUAUUAAUUUUCAAGUCCUUUUGGCCCUUGAAAUUGGGCAUCAUCUGCUGCUUUCAAAUCUGGAUUGCCAAUGAAUCACUUAUAGUGUAAUCAGUAUAAACAUU